UUAUUACUCAUAUAAUGCCUAUUUUUCUAUAGAAACUGCCCUGAAUUAUGCCUUUGACAGUUGUGUGUUACAAUAUAAAAGAUAUUGAAAUUUGAACACUUUAUAGAAUUGAGAGCAUUAUUAUUUCCUAAUGUUCACUCAAUACAAAUCUGUGCAUACCCAUGUUGUUAAAUACUUUAUAAACAAUAGAUCAUUGUUUCAAUGAUAUUCAAGGUACUGGUUUUUUUUAAUGCUUUGACAUGAAAUGUGACCCCACAGGUUGGAGUGAUGUGAUAUAUUAUACCAGAUUUCAGAUGUAAUAGAUUACUUUAUGUUUCUCAUCAAUAGUCUAUUUUGUUCUUGUUAGAUGAAGUGCAAUAAAUUUGGGUUUUGUUACAUUUUUU
rnacentral:misc_RNA from 1 species